UGGGGAAUAUUGCACAAUGGGCGAAAGCCUGAUGCAGCAACGCCGCGUGAGGGAAGAAGGUCUUCGGAUUGUAAACCUUUGUCCUAAGUGAAGAAACAAAUGACGGUAGCUUAGGAGGAAGCCACGGCUAACUACGUGCCAGCAGCCGCGGUAAUACGUAGGUGGCAAGCGUUGUCCGGAUUUACUGGGUGUAAAGGGUGCGCAGGCGGGACUGCAAGUUGGAUGUGAAAUACCGGGGCUUAACUUCGGAGCUGCAUCCAAAACUGUGGUUCUUGAGAGAUGUAGAGGUAAGCGGAAUUCCGAGUGUAGCGGUGAAAUGCGUAGAUAUUCGGAGGAACACCAGUGGCGAAGGCGGCUUACUGGGCAUUUUCUGACGCUGAGGCACGAAAGUGUGGGGAGCAAACAGG
rnacentral:rRNA from 1 species